rnacentral:piRNA from 1 species
UUGGAAGACAAUUGCUGGUGUGUAUUGC